rnacentral:rRNA from 1 species
UACAGAGGUGGCAAGCGUUGUUCGGAAUUACUGGGCGUAAAGCGCACGUAGGCGGAUUUGUAAGUCAGGGGUGAAAUCCCGGGGCUCAACCUCGGAACUGCCUUUGAUACUGCAAAUCUCGAGUCCGAUAGAGGUGGGUGGAAUUCCUAGUGUAGAGGUGAAAUUCGUAGAUAUUAGGAAGAACACCGGUGGCGAAGGCGGCCCACUGGAUCGGUACUGACGCUGAGGUGCGAAAGCGUGGGGAGCAAACAGG